GGGGGAAGUAUUGCACAAUGGGCGAAAGCCUGAUGCAGCAACGCCGCGUGAAGGAAGAAGGCCUUUGGGUCGUAAACUUCUGUCCUUGGGGAAGAUAAUGACGGUACCCUUGGAGGAAGCCCCGGCUAACUACGUGCCAGCAGCCGCGGUAAUACGUAGGGGGCAAGCGUUGUCCGGAAUUAUUGGGCGUAAAGAGUACGUAGGCGGUCUGGUAAGCGCAAGGUGAAAGGCAUAGGCUCAACCAAUGUCAGCCUUGCGAACUGUCAGACUUGAGUGCAGGAGGGGAAAGUGGAAUUCCUAGUGUAGCGGUGAAAUGCGUAGAUAUUAGGAGGAACACCAGUGGCGAAGGCGACUUUCUGGACUGUAACUGACGCUGAGGUACGAAAGCGUGGGGAGCAAACAGGAUUAGAUACCCUGGUAGU
rnacentral:rRNA from 1 species